rnacentral:rRNA from 1 species
GCUUGUCUCAAAGAUUAAGCCAUGCAUGUCUAAGUGUAAAUAAGUCUAUACUGUGAAACUGCGAAUGGCUCAUUAAAUCAGUUAUCGUUUAUUUGAUGAUCUCUUACUACUUGGAUAACCGUGGUAAUUCUAGAGCUAAUACAUGCGCAAAAGACCCGACUGUUUGGGAGGGUUGUAUUUAUUAGAUGGAAACCAAUGCGGGGCAACCCGGAUUCUGGUGAUUCAUAAUAACUUUCGGAUCGAUCUUCGGAUCGAUGCAUCAUUCAAGUUUCUGCCCUAUCAGCUUUGGAUGGUAGGGUAUUGGCCUACCAUGGCUUUAACGGGUAACGGAGAAUUAGGGUUCGAUUCCGGAGAGGGAGCCUGAGAAAUGGCUACCACAUCCAAGGAAGGCAGCAGG